rnacentral:ncRNA from 11 species
UAUUUAGCUUAGGGGUAGAGCACUUGCCUAGUAAGCAAGAAGUCACUGGUUCGAAUCCAGUAGU